GCAUUUCUUUGAAACAGUUAUCAGCUCCAUCGCCAGUGCUUAAUUCACACUUUUUAAAGCAAUUUGAUAUUUUUUGGGUUUAAACAAUGUCCCAUGAUUUACGAAAUCAAAUGCAUUGAUUCCAAAAUAGUAAGGGAUUUCGAUAGUUUGUUUGCAGUUAAGAGUUCCGAAGAGCUGUCACAGUUUAUGCCACAAAUGAUUUUUCGAACAACCAUUUUUCUGUAAUGAAACUUGAAUAAUCUUAUGAUUCCCCGAUCAAGGGGUUGAAUAACAGCUGUAGUGUUGGGUGGCAAAAACACUAAUUUAAUGUUUUUCAAACGCAAGUCCUCAUCAGCAAGGUGCGCAGAACAAUUGUAUAAAAGUAAGAUGACCUUUUCAUUUUUCAGCUCCUUGUCCCAUUCAAGAAGAAAUUUUGUGAAGAUGCUGGAUGUCAUCCAUGCGUUAUAGCUAUUGGCAUAACUGAUGCAGAAUGUACUUUAAACCCUCCUUUUAAUGGUUCUACAUAGUGAGAGUGAACCACUUAUUCACAUAUUUUACGAAAAGCUUACAAAAGCUCCUUCCUCUAAAAUGGCUGCAGUUUGACUGAAA